UACGUAGGGUGCGAGCGUUGUCCGGAAUUAUUGGGCGUAAAGAGCUCGUAGGCGGUUUGUCGCGUCGGCCGUGAAAACUUGGGGCUUAACUCCGAGCUUGCGGUCGAUACGGGCAGACUUGAGUUCGGCAGGGGAGACUGGAAUUCCUGGUGUAGCGGUGAAAUGCGCAGAUAUCAGGAGGAACACCGGUGGCGAAGGCGGGUCUCUGGGCCGAUACUGACGCUGAGGAGCGAAAGCGUGGGGAGCGAACAGG
rnacentral:rRNA from 1 species